rnacentral:rRNA from 1 species
GAUGAACGCUGGCGGCGUGCCUAAUACAUGCAAGUCGAGCGAACAGACGAGGAGCUUGCUCCUCUGACGUUAGCGGCGGACGGGUGAGUAACACGUGGAUAACCUACCUAUAAGACUGGGAUAACUUCGGGAAACCGGAGCUAAUACCGGAUAAUAUAUUGAACCGCAUGGUUUAAUAGUGAAAGACGGUUUUGCUGUCACUUAUAGAUGGAUCCGCGCCGCAUUAGCUAGUUGGUAAGGUAACGGCUUACCAAGGCAACGAUGCGUAGCCGACCUGAGAGGGUGAUCGGCCACACUGGAACUGUGACACGGUCCAGACUCCUACGGGAGGCAGCAGUAGGGAAUCUUCCGCAAUGGGCGAAAGCCUGACGGAGCAACGCCGCGUGAGUGAUGAAGGUCUUCGGAUCGUAAAACUCUGUUAUUAGGGAAGAACAAAUGUGUAAGUAACUAUGCACGUCUUGACGGUACCUAAUCAGAAAGCCACGGCUAACUACGUG